GCCCUUAGUAGCUUAAAACAAAGCAUUGGUCUUGUAAACCAAAAAUGAGAUAUUCUCUCCAAGGACA
rnacentral:tRNA from 1 species